rnacentral:rRNA from 1 species
UACGAAGGGUGCAAGCGUUGUUCGGAAUUAUUGGGCGUAAAGCGCGCGUAGGCGGGUUGGCAAGUCGAUUGUGAAAGCCCUGGGCUUAACCUGGGAACUGCAGUCGAAACUGCCGAUCUUGAGUGCCUGAGAGGAUGGCGGAAUUCCCGGUGUAGUAGUGAAAUACGUAGAUAUCGGGAGGAACACCUGAGGCGAAGGCGGCUAUCUGGCGGUGCACUGACGCUGAGGCGCGAAAGCGUGGGGAGCAAACAGG